AAUGCUCAAAAAAUGACCAAUUUUGAGCUGCUAAAUAAAAUAUGAAUGGAGUUUGCUGAUCGUUUGGUUGAAGCUGUGUUGCCAAAAGUGAUUAAAAAUCGCACUUGCUCGUAAUAAUUUUCGAGUCAAACUUUACUGGCAAUAAUUGCUUCUUCCGCUCAUUUGAUACUAAAAAAUUUUAGUGUUUGCGCCCUUGAAUGAAAUUUGUUGAUUAAACGUCAAGCUGUGUUGCCAAAUGCGAUAAAAAAACUCAAUUGGUAGGAACAAUUUUUGAAUCGAAGUUUAGUGGCAGCA